rnacentral:lncRNA from 1 species
CAAAUUAAGAUCAGCUCUGCGCAGAUCAUAUCUGAUGUGUAUAUGCAGCCUAUUUAUUUGGACUGCAAUGAUAAGGUGUCACUUCUGGGACAUCUGUGUUGGGCUGUACUAAUGAGACUGAAACAAUUUUAUUUCACAGCUUUACCUACCCUGAUACAUACAAGGAGAAAAGUUGCUUCUGGCUGCAGUUCCUUCCCUCACUUAAUUGUGACAGCUUUGCCUGAACAUGAGGAAAAACACUGGUACGACAGGCAUGUAAUUUCCAAAACAAUAUUUCCUGUUUGCUGUGAAGAAAAGACAAGAAGGACAGAUGAUCCAUUCAACAGGUUAAGUGCUUCUUCUGCAUGACCAUAACCAAAGGGUGACCCAUCCACUCCCUUUUGUCCUAUGGGGACCUCAGAGCCAGUUUCUCAGUCUUCAUCUCCUCCUCCUCCUCCUCCUCCUCUUACCACUGCUGCUGACGCCCUGGGUGCUGCUCCCAGGUUUGAGACGUUGACAGGCUGAAGAAAGGAUUUGCAAAGACCUUCUCACUGUGUAAAUAGAGUGAUGGCUGGAAUUAAUUUCAACUCCCCACGUAAUGAUAAUAAACAAUAAUAAGAAUUCUAGGCCAAAGCAUUACCAGGAACAAAUUAUGAGGAAAGACACUAUUCGCAUUUGGUUGUGACGAUGAACUAAAAACAUCUGUGCAGAGCAGGUACCCUUUGAUAUGCAUGUAUUUUUCUUCACGAAGGUGGUCAUGAAUCUGAUCAGAUCUGUGGUAGUCACGGGAGAUAAAUGAAAGCAAAGGGACUUAGUGGAUGAAAGGACAAGGCCUCAGCUGUUCCCUGCUCCAAUUUUGAGAGUUUCAUCUUUUCGUAUUAGCAAAACAGUAGUUUGUGUCAAACGUUUUGGACAAUAAGAAAAUGCAGAUCUGUGGUUUUGCAGAACAUAGAUUCAGCAUUAUAACUGUAUUGCCCUGUGCUGUGUCCAGUGCACUGUCCUCCAAAUGCAAAUGGCUUUGAACUUCCUAUGCUGAAAGUUAAGUUUGCACUGUAAAGAAAAGCUUUUGUAUUAAGUGAUAAAAAA